rnacentral:lncRNA from 1 species
GUAAACUUUUUAUUUAAUUAUCUUUUAUAUAAAAUAAUUCGAGAUUAUAGAUUAAAAAGAAAAUAUGUUGAAACUCUUAAUUCUCUUCUUUGUUGAAAAGCUAUUCCUUGCUUUAUAUUUUGAAAUUCCUUUUCAUUUUGAGGAUUUGAUUUGUUUCAAUAAAUCAAAAGAUUAAAAUAAGCUUUCUGGGAUAGGAAGUAGUACACUACAAUUACAGAAUUUAGAACAAAUUAUUUUUCAAUACUUUGUACAUUACAGUUCCAAUAAAGAACAGUGACUGCUCUCAUCAUCUAUUUAUUUAUGUUCCUUUGGAGAAAUUCUUUCUCUGAGAUUUCUGCACUGAAGUGUAAUUUGUAAUUUAAAAAUAAGGCAUGUUACUCAAACUGCAUUCCUUCUUUCCUUGUAUCUCUUCUCUUCUUUCCAUCUUAAUUCUGUUUUUCAAAGGCUUCCUCUGCUUAUCUGUCAUGUUCUCCUUUCCCAAAUACUAUUCUUUUUAUAAAAUACUCCAUAUAGCUACCAUCUGCUUCCUCCUCUACUUUUUGUAAUGUUCCUGACUGAAACUGCUUAUGCACAGAAUCAUAAGCUUUUAGAACUCAAAGAUAUUUCAUGCACUGCUGUAUGCGACCACACGUCAGGCCAACUCCUGGACAGACAGUGGACGUAGCACACGGUCUCUGCUCCCAUGAGCCCAACAGCUGGAUUGCGGACAUAGCAGAAACAAAAAAAUAAGAAAGACAAAAAAGGGAAAAGAAAACUCUGUGUCCCUAAACAUCACAGGAAAACCUCGUGAGAAGAUAUGUGGACUGCUCAGAGACACAUUUCAUGAGGCUCCUCAGAAGUACUGAGCAACGUAGGUCCAAGACUGUGGCCAAUACAUACCCUUCUGUCAACUUCUCUCCCUUCCUUGCCUCAUUUCUCUUAUGUUUCUUUCACUUCUGAGCUUUGAGACCAUUUCCUAAAAAACUGCUUAUAAGUAGGGCUUUUUUCUAAGUUUUACUUCAGGAAACAUUCACAGUGACACCUCUCAACUGAAAGAUUGGUUAUAGAGGCCAGAAAGAUGAGGAAAUUCGUCAAGGAGCUACAGUGAAGACUAGAAACAAUACAUCCUGACAUAUUUUUAGUGCAUUUGCCACCGCACCAUAAAUUCUCUCCACAUUAUUGUUUGGCUCAGCUUAUAAUGUUAUUUAUGUACUAAGUGUUUUGGUUAUUA